rnacentral:rRNA from 1 species
UACGUAGGGGGCAAGCGUUGUCCGGAAUCAUUGGGCGUAAAGCGUGCGCAGGCGGUUUGUUAAGUCUGAUGUGAAAGCCCCGGGCUCAACCUGGGAAUGGCAUUGGAAACUGGCAAGCUAGAGUGUGGCAGAGGGGGGUGGAAUUCCGCGUGUAGCAGUGAAAUGCGUAGAGAUGCGGAGGAACACCGAUGGCGAAGGCAGCCCCCUGGGCCAACACUGACGCUCAGGCACGAAAGCGUGGGGAGCAAACAGG